rnacentral:rRNA from 1 species
UGCAGUCGAGCGGUAGCACAGAGAGCUUGCUCUCGGGUGACGAGCGGCGGACGGGUGAGUAAUGUCUGGGAAACUGCCUGAUGGAGGGGGAUAACUACUGGAAACGGUAGCUAAUACCGCAUAAUGUCGCAAGACCAAAGAGGGGGACCUUCGGGCCUCUUGCCAUCAGAUGUGCCCAGAUGGGAUUAGCUAGUAGGUGGGGUAACGGCUCACCUAGGCGACGAUCCCUAGCUGGUCUGAGAGGAUGACCAGCCACACUGGAACUGAGACACGGUCCAGACUCCUACGGGAGGCAGCAGUGGGGAAUAUUGCACAAUGGGCGCAAGCCUGAUGCAGCCAUGCCGCGUGUAUGAAGAAGGCCUUCGGGUUGUAAAGUACUUUCAGCGGGGAGGAAGGUGUUGAGGUUAAUAACCUCGUCAAUUGACGUUACCCGCAGAAGAAGCACCGGCUAACUCCGUGCCAGCAGCCGCGGUAAUACGGAGGGUGCAAGCGUUAAUCGGAAUUACUGGGCGUAAAGCGCACGCAGGCGGUCUGUCAAGUCGGAUGUGAAAUCCCCGGGCUCAACCUGGGAACUGCAUUCGAAACUGGCAGGCUAGAGUCUUGUAGAGGGGGGUAGAAUUCCAGGUGUAGCGGUGAAAUGCGUAGAGAUCUGGAGGAAUACCGGUGGCGAAGGCGGCCCCCUGGACAAAGACUGACGCUCAGGUGCGAAAGCGUGGGGAGCAAACAGGAUUAGAUACCCUGGUAGUCCACGCCGUAAACGAUGUCGACUUGGAGGUUGUGCCCUUGAGGCGUGGCUUCCGGAGCUAACGCGUUAAGUCGACCGCCUGGGGAGUACGGCCGCAAGGUUAAAACUCAAAUGAAUUGACGGGGGCCCGCACAAGCGGUGGAGCAUGUGGUUUAAUUCGAUGCAACGCGAAGAACCUUACCUACUCUUGACAUCCAGAGAACUUAGCAGAGAUGGAUUGGUGCCUUCGGGAACUCUGAGACAGGUGCUGCAUGGCUGUCGUCAGCUCGUGUUGUGAAAUGUUGGGUUAAGUCCCGCAACGAGCGCAACCCUUAUCCUUUGUUGCCAGCGGUCCGGCCGGGAACUCAAAGGAGACUGCCAGUGAUAAACUGGAGGAAGGUGGGGAUGACGUCAAGUCAUCAUGGCCCUUACGAGUAGGGCUACACACGUGCUACAAUGGCGCAUACAAAGAGAAGCGACCUCGCGAGAGCAAGCGGACCUCAUAAAGUGCGUCGUAGUCCGGAUUGGAGUCUGCAACUCGACUCCAUGAAGUCGGAAUCGCUAGUAAUCGUAGAUCAGAAUGCUACGGUGAAUACGUUCCCGGGCCUUGUACACACCGCCCGUCACACCAUGGGAGUGGGUUGCAAAAGAAGUAGGUAGCUUAACCUUCGGGAGGGCGCU